AUUAUCCAGAGUCAUCUGAUGAUGCAAUGGCCACUGGCAGAGCCGUUCUUUGCUGUUUCAUGUUAUCUUUCUGAACUGAGGAAAAGAGCCCUCAACUGAUUGGCAACAGAAGGCUAAGAAUUGAAUCCUGAUCUCUUGAAUUCAAAUCUUGCAUGUUUAACCUAAGUGCUAAAACUUAUCUGUGACAAGCUUCUUGAGCCUGAAGAAAUUACAAGUACUAGAUGCCAGAAAAUUUUAUGUCAAUGAUUUUGUGAAAAGGUGGAAUCUCACUAAACCCAAAUUCAGAGAUCACAGAAACUAGAGAUCGAUGGUUUGCCAAGGAAAACAUAAAAAAUAGACAAAGUGAUGGGCUUUUUACAUCAGAUGGCACUGGAUUGGACCCUAACUCCAUCCUUUGUAAGUGAUAUGUCUUUGGCUUCUUCCACUUACAAAUGGUUCCCUUUGCUGAAGAUUCCCCUCAACAUGAAGGGUGAGCUCUGUGAGUGUUGUCUGCUUGCUAUUUUUGCAUCUCUUGAUUAUUAAAAGAAGGGAGUUUCUUGAAACAGAGAGCUAAUGCACGAAGAACUCAAAAAAAUUAAACCACCUAAAAUUAAAGACCCAGUCAAGAAAUGGGCAAGAGAAAUGAACAGAUUUCACAGAGG
rnacentral:lncRNA from 1 species